UGAAACCCCCAAAUCCGAAAAUCAAAGAAAAUAGAGAAGAAAAUACAUCAAAUAACAAAUAUAAUCAAAAAGAUAACAAUAAUCUUUGAAUAAAACUCAUUUUUAUGGUGGUGGUGUAGUGAUGGCCGAAAUUAAGAAAGCAAAAAGAGGGCAAAGAGGUUGAUUUUAGGUCUUGCAUGGAUGAUUGAGUGUUGAAUUACAUAUUUACUUGAAGGUUGUCCCGGGUGCGGAAGAAAGUUAAGUAAUGUACAGAUUGAAGUUAAAGUUGCUUUAUGGAUAUUGGUUGCUUUAGCUAAAUGCGGAUAAUUGUAACGUUGAUAGGACCCGUAGAGACCCCUUUGAACUAUGGCUCAUGAUACAUUGAUUGUUUUGGUAUAAUUAUUCGUUUUUGUCAAAUGUAAGAAAUAAGAAGUUUCGGUUACUUCUAUUGAGUCAUUUUGUAUUAGAAAUGUGUUGGAUUGUGUUUGAAAUGUAUCUUUGGAAAACUCUUAAUCCGUAACAGGUUUUGACGAUGAUUUUACGAA